AAGUCGUAACAAGGUUUCCGUAGGUGAACCUGCGGAAGGAUCAUUAUUGUACUUAAGGUCACCAAUUUUUUAAAUAGGAGCAAAAAGUAUAUUUAAAACCCCCACACUUUUGAAAAAAUUUUUAUGUAUAUUUUACUAUAAGUAAAUUAUAAGAUCACUUUCAACAACGGAUCUCUUGGCUCUC
rnacentral:misc_RNA from 1 species